rnacentral:rRNA from 1 species
AAUAGAUACCCUGGUAGUCCACGCCGUAAACGAUGAGUGCUAAGUGUUAGGGGGUUUCCGCCCCUUAGUGCUGCAGCUAACGCAUUAAGCACUCCGCCUGGGGGAGUACGGUCGCAAGACUGAAACUCAAAGGAAGUUGACGGGGGCCCGCACAAGCGGUGGAGCAUGUGGUUUAAUUCGAAGCAACGCGAAGAACCUUACCAGGUCUUGACAUCCCAUUGACCACUAUGGAGACAUAGUUUUCCCUUCGGGGACAACGGUGACAGGUGGUGCAUGGUUGUCGUCAGCUCGUGUCGUGAGAUGUUGGGUUAAGUCCCGCAACGUAGCGCAACCCUUGUUCUUAGUUGCCAUCAUUUAGUUGGGCACUCUAAGGAGACUGCCGGUGACAAACCGGAGGAAGGUGGGGAUGACGUACGAAAUCAUCAUGCCCCUUAUGACCUGGGCUACACACGUGCUACAAUGGACGGUACAAACGGUUGCCAACCCGCGAGGGGGAGCUAAUCCGAUAAAACCGUUCUCAGUUCGGAUUGUAGGCUGCAACUCGCCUACAUGAACG